rnacentral:rRNA from 1 species
UCUGGUGGCUAUAGCGCAAGGGCCACACCUCUUCCCAUUCCGAACAGAGCAGUUAAGCCUUGCAGCGCUGAUGGUACUGUCACUACGACGGGAGAGUAGGUCGCCGCCAGAG